rnacentral:rRNA from 1 species
GAUGGACGCUGACAGAAUGCUUAACACAUGCAAGUCGAUGGGGAAGUGGUGCUUGCACCAUGGUAACCAUGGCGGACGGGUGAGUAACGCGUAAGGAACUUACCUGCGGGACCGGGAUAACAGCAGGAAACUGCUGACAAGACCGGAUAAGGUCAUUAAGCUGCAUAGCUUAGUGAUGAAAGGAGACGCCUGCGGAGAGCCUUGCGUCCUAUUAGCUAGUUGGAGGGGUAACGGCCCACCAAGGCGAAGAUAGGUAGCCGGCCUGAGAGGGUGGACGGCCACAAGGGGACUGAGAUACGGCCCUUACUCCUACGGGAGGCAGCAGUGGGGAAUAUUGGACAAUGGGGGCAACCCUGAUCCAGCAAUUCUGUGUGCACGAAGACGGUUUUCGGAUUGUAAAGUGCUUUCAGCAGGGAAGAAGGAAGUGACGGUACCUGCAGAAGAAGCGACGGCUAAAUACGUG